GGUUCCUAGUUAUUUGUCUGGAAAAUUUACUUCCACGUCAAUGAUACACGAACAUAGUUUGCGUGGAUCUAAUCAUAAACUUUUUGUACCAAGACCCUUAACGGAAUCCUUGAAGAAAAGUUUUUCUUACAGAGGAGCUACCCUCUGGAAUGACAUACCCGUCGAACUCACUAGAGUUCAAUCUCUCGUUGAGUUUAAAUCUAAAAUAUCUUAAUAUUUCUUUUUAUAUUAGUUUCUUUGCAUGUGUAGUUUGUUACCUUUGUAAAUAGUUUGAUACUUUUUUUAUUAGUAAUUAGUCGACUAGUAUAGGUACACGUCUCCAUUGAAGAGCACAUAACAUAACCUGUGAAAUGGACCUCGUGUUUUAAAUAAAGAUGUCAAUCAAUCAAUCAAUUUAAUGCAAGAAUAUCGAGACAUUCAUCGGCUAAUAUGAUCCUAAUUUCGUCAAUAUGCUUAGGUAAACUGGUUAUGUUAAGCAUACCCAUUUUGAAACCCUUGAGCGUUUUCAUGUUCUAGGCUUGUUAGACAAUAUUCAGUUACUUUAGUGCCACCAUUCAAACUCAGUUCUUUUAGCUGAUCAAGCUGUUCGGCAAAGUUUUCCUUUAUUUGUUGAAGCUCUGCUUUCGUUUAGUCUUUCGACAAUAUGUUGGUUUAGUUUUAAUUUAAUCUCGCUUACCUCAGUAGGGAGUUCGUUACAGACUACCUGAGCGGUUGUUUCACAUUCGACAGUUGUUAUAUCGCCACCGUCGUCCUCCGUGUCAUUUUGAGCUACAAGGCGAUGCUGUUGUGUUCUUUCACACCUUCUUCCUUCAGAUUUGAAAUUAUUAUGAUUCAGGUCGAAAAAAGCAGGAUUAUUCUGCUAUAAAAGGUCAAUUACAAUGCCAAUAAAGGUCUUUAUAAGAUUUAUAAUGUGCCUGCUGAGAUUGCUGCACGUAAAACAUGAUAUAUUAAAUAUACUAUAAAAUAAAAUAAAAUAAAAUAAAAUAAAAUAAAAUAAAAUAAAAUAAAAUAAAAUAAAAUAAAAUAAAAUAAAAUAAAAUAAAAUAAAAUAAAAUAAAAUAAAAUAAAAUAAAAUACUUGUAUCUGAUGUUUAACUGUAUGUAUCGUAUUAUAUAUUAUCGUUGUACCGCAUAGCCAUAGCACGCACAGAGAAGUCGUGGCGUAAACGAAUGGCGUUCAUAAGAUAACCAAUGGAGUUCACUGGUGAAAACAGAUAGCUAUACUUCGAAUUCGAAAUAAGUCUUGCUCGUUGAGUUUCAGCAAUGUCCAGAGAGCAAUGUCAAUGCAAGGAAUUUUAUAGUCCAUAACUGCAUAUAAAGAACACGGGUUUUAAUCCUGUGCUAUCACAAGUCAAGAUACAGCAGCAUUGUUUACAAACAGUUGGCGAUGUUUCGGAAACCAAAAGAUCACGUUAUAAAAAAUCCGUUUGAAUAUCGGACAGGAUACACUUCAAUUUAACGGCCAGAUCGUUCGUUUGAUCGGUCGGUCGGUGUGGAAGAUAUUAAAGUAGCUUCUACGAUAAAGCGUGCUCAACUUCGCAAGCUGUAGGUAGGCUAAGGUAGCGUGUGGUGUUCUUUCCUUGCAAUUGAAAUAUGAUUCAGCUUCUUGUUUGAAAUGUAACUCAACACUCAUUAUUGAUGACAUUCAUAUAGCAGGAAGUCGUGUCAUGAUAAAUAGAAUUUUUAGUAAACAGUUUAUUUCACGAUUUCUUGUUGUAAAUUUCAUUUUAAUCACCAGAAACUAGAACACAUAAGUUGCAAUUUUCCAAACACGACAAACCACUACCCAUAGACACAAUUUAUUUUAGCACGCAGAAUUUGCGUGCCACGUGACCAGCCCCAGCCAUUUGCUUCACAAGAGGAAAGAGCCUGGGAACGAGGUUGUUGUAGCUUUUGAAAGUCAAGCGAGAUCGCAUAUUAUCAAAUUACACAAUUGUCUGAACUCUUUCUCGACGACUUUGUAUGUUCAAUUGUUCAUAUCUUCGGUUCAGUGCUAGGUUAGUUCAGUGCAUGCUUCCUUCGAUUCAGUGAAACAAUAUCAACUAUACUAAGGGACCGGUCAUAAAGUAAUUACUAGAGGGGGGUGGAGGAUAAAUAAAAUUUCAAGUACAUAUUUCCAUACCCUCCCAAAAACCUAUGGAAAAAUUUUCGUAACCCCCUUCAAUGUAAGUGAAAAUUUUCAUAACCAACCCCCCCCCCCCUUUUUUCUAUCAUUACUUCUGUUUUAACAUUUGUCUUGCGUUUAUCUAUAUUUCGAAACUCAAACAAAACAGUUUGUGAUAACUCUCCCACUUCUUGUAGUGGUAACCAUAUAUCAGUCAGUUCACUCAACAUUUUCCGCAGUCUGCGAUUCGUCACCAGUCUUUUCUGAUUCUGACAUACUAGCGAUGGGUUGAGAAUAAGAAAAAACAGAAAAAAUUAUUUUUGGUUUAUUUCAAUUUCGUACCCAGAGCCAUCGUACGUUGAGCUCUGGGUACGAGAUUGGGUUUAUUUCAAACAGAAAAAAAUGCUUCCUUUCAAUGUGACACUUUUUCAUCAGGUUCUAAUGGUGCGAGCUUGCUAGCAAUGACAAUUCAGAUGUAUCAGAUUUGUACUCCAAACGUUCCACGGAUACUGAAUCCUACUUAUCAUGAUCAUCUGACAUUAGUAAAACAAUUCUUUCCAAACUUAAAUUUGGGCACAAAUACAUUCAAAAUUCAACAAUAAUUAUAAAGUGUAAUUUUUUUCCGUACCUAUAGUAAUAAGAUUUUGGUACCCCCCCUCGAGGUUCUGUUGUUUUUUCGUACCCCCCCCCCC